GGGCCAUAGCUCAAUGGCUAGGGCAUCUACCCUGCAUCCAGAUGUCCCAGGUUUGAUUCCUGGCAUUUCCA